CUUUUAAAAACCUUGGAUGGUUUUGAGCACUUGUUCUUCUGACAAAUACGUCUUCUCAAGUGACUUGCCAAUCUUUUUCUCCCACAAGGCGACAAGUUCGUUCAUUGAUAGAGUGUUCUUAGGAGGACUGAUGUAGAGGGUUUUGUUUAAAGUCCUUGGAUCAUCCACUGCUCUGAUCAUGGUCCUAACCUUUGGCGUUUCCGUCGCCCAAAAUGGUGACUUUGUCUCGAGGAGGAGAAGUAAGACCAGGCUGAAACUGAACCAACGUACGCAAGUACAAACCCGCGGCACAGUUGUUAACAACAAGGCAAGAAUCUCUGCAAAAGCAAAUCCAUUUUUGAGACUAUAUGAGCAAAUGGAUAAGUGAAGGGUUUCAGCCUAAGACCGACCUUGACAUUACC